rnacentral:misc_RNA from 1 species
AAGUCGUAACAAGAAUCCCUGGUAAAUCAUUGUCGACCAGAUUUUGAGUCAGGGACCUCUGCCGAUGAGAGUUACGCUCGUAGCGAUGCAAGCGACCUGGCACCCUCAAGCAAUCAGAGUUCUGAAAGCGUCUUUGAUUGUGUAAGGGUGGCGCAAACACGAUCGUUGGAGGCCGACACGGCCGACGACCGGGUCCCUGGGUCACCAUGCCCCUUAAUCACCACACUGUAACGCCGACAGGUCGCGAUAAUUCCGCUGACCACAAAAAACCGAACAACUGUUAACAAUGGAUAUCUUGGUUCUC